CUGAUUGGCUGGUGCUGUUGCUGCGUAGGGGACACUUGUGGCAGGAGUUGUUGCUGCAGAGACAGUAGCAGGCGUAGCACUGUACAUCAUUGGGACUUUACUGCUAGCAGGAGUCAUGCACAAGACUGACCCUGUGGUAAAGAA